AAAUUGAAGAGUUUGAUCAUGGCUCAGAUUGAACGCUGGCGGCAGGCCUAACACAUGCAAGUCGAACGGUAACAGGAAGCAGCUUGCUGCUUCGCUGACGAGUGGCGGACGGGUGAGUAAUGUCUGGGAAACUGCCUGAUGGAGGGGGAUAACUACUGGAAACGGUAGCUAAUACCGCAUAACGUCGCAAGACCAAAGAGGGGGACCUUCGGGCCUCUUGCCAUCGGAUGUGCCCAGAUGGGAUUAGCUAGUAGGUGGGGUAACGGCUCACCUAGGCGACGAUCCCUAGCUGGUCUGAGAGGAU
rnacentral:rRNA from 1 species